rnacentral:rRNA from 1 species
UAGGGAAUCUUCGGCAAUGUACGAAAGUCUGACCGAGCAACGCCGCGUGAGUGAAGAAGGUUUUCGGAUCGUAAAACUCUGUUGCUAGAGAAGAACAAGGACGUUAGUAACUGAACGUCCCCUGACGGUAUCUAACCAGAAAGCCACGGCUAACUACGUGCCAGCAGCCGCGGUAAUACGUAGGUGGCAAGCGUUGUCCGGAUUUAUUGGGCGUAAAGCGAGCGCAGGCGGUUUCUUAAGUCUGAUGUGAAAUCCCCCGGCUCAACCGGGGAGGGUCAUUGGAAACUGGGAGGCUUGAGUGCAGAAGAGGAGAGUGGAAUUCCAUGUGUAGCGGUGACAUGCGUAGAUAUAUGGAGGAACACCAGUGGCGAAGGCGGCUCUCAGGACUGUAACUGACGCUGAGGAUCGAAAGCGUGGGGAGCAAACAGG